rnacentral:rRNA from 1 species
AAUAGAUACCCAGGUAGUCCACGCUGUAAACGUUGGACACUAGGUGUGGCGGUCUGAUCAACGACUGCCGUGCCGAAGCUAACGCAUUAAGUGUCCCGCCUGGGGAGUACGGCCGCAAGGCUAAAACUCAAAGGAAUUGACGGGUCCCCGCACAAGCGGCGGAGCAUGCGGCUUAAUUCGAUGCAACCCGAAGAACCUUACCUGGGUUUGACAUCAUGGGAAAAGCCGUGGAAACACGGUGUCCGUAAGGGCCCAUGACAGGUGGUGCAUGGCUGUCGUCAGCUCGUGUCGUGAGAUGUUGGGUUAAGUCCCGCAACGAGCGCAACCCUUGUCCUAUGUUGCCAGCGGUUCGGCCGGGGACUCAUAGGAGACUGCCGGGGAUAACUCGGAGGAAGGUGAGGACGAUGUCAAGUCAUCAUGCCCCUUAUAUCCAGGGCUGCACGCAUGCUACAAUGGUCGGUACAACGGGCAGCGAUCCUGCGAAGGUGAGCGAAUCCCACAAAGCCGGCUCAGUUCGGAUUGG